AUCAGAUGACGAGUCCCAAAUAAGACGAAAUGCGCAUCCUGGAU
rnacentral:hammerhead_ribozyme from 1 species